rnacentral:rRNA from 1 species
AGUUUGAUCAUGGCUCAGAGCGAACGCUGGCGGCAGGCUUAACACAUGCAAGUCGAGCGGCAUCUUCGGGUGUCAGCGGCGGACGGGUGAGUAACGCGUGGGAACGUGCCCUCUGGUUCGAAUAACUCAGGGAAACUUGAGCUAAUACCGGAUACGCCCUUUUGGGGAAAGGCUUGCUGCGGAGGAUCGGCCCGCGUCUGAUUAGCUAGUUGGUGAGGUAACGGCUCACCAAGGCGACGACAGUAGCUGGUCUGAGAGGAUGAUCAGCCACACUGGGACUGAGACACGGCCCAGACUCCUCGGGAGGCAGCAGUGGGGAAUAUUGGACAAUGGGCGCAAGCCUGAUCCAGCCAUGCCGCGGAGUGAUGAAGGCCUUAGGGUUGUAAAGCUCUUUUAUCCGGGACGAUAAUGACGGUACCGAGGAAUAAGCCCCGGCUAACUUCGUGCCAGCAGCCGCGGUAAUACGAAGGGGGCUAGCGUGCUCGGAAUCACUGGGCGUAAAGGGCGCGUAGGCGGCGUUUUAAGUCGGGGGUGAAAGCCGUGGCUCAACCACAGAAUGGCCUUCGAUACUGGGACGCUUGAGUAUGGUAGAGGU